rnacentral:rRNA from 1 species
AGAGUUUGAUCCUGGCUCAGGAUGAACGCUAGCGGCAGGCUUAACACAUGCAAGUCGAGGGGUAUUUAUCUUCGGAUAGAGAGACCGGCGCACGGGUGCGUAACGCGUAUGCAAUCUACCUUUUACAGAGGGAUAGCCCAGAGAAAUUUGGAUUAAUACCUCAUAGUAUAUAGACCUGGCAUCAGGAUUAUAUUAAAGUCACAACGGUAAAAGAUGAGCAUGCGUCCCAUUAGCUAGUUGGUAAGGUAACGGCUUACCAAGGCUACGAUGGGUAGGGGUCCUGAGAGGGAGAUCCCCCACACUGGUACUGAGACACGGACCAGACUCCUACGGGAGGCAGCAGUGAGGAAUAUUGGACAAUGGGCGCAAGCCUGAUCCAGCCAUGCCGCGUGCAGGAUGACGGUCCUAUGGAUUGUAAACUGCUUUUAUACGAGAAGAAACACUACUUCGUGAAGUAGCUUGACGGUAUCGUAAGAAUAAGGAUCGGCUAACUCCGUGCCAGCAGCCGCGGUAAUACGGAGGAUCCAAGCGUUAUCCGGAAUCAUUGGGUUUAAAGGGUCCGUAGGCGGUUUAAUAAGUCAGUGGUGAAAGCCCAUCGCUCAACGGUGGAACGGCCAUUGAUACUGUUAGACUUGAAUUAUUAGGAAGUAACUAGAAUAUGUAGUGUAGCGGUGAAAUGCUUAGAGAUUACAUGGAAUACCAAUUGCGAAGGCAGGUUACUACUAAUUGAUUGACGCUGAUGGACGAAAGCGUGGGUAGCGAACAGGAUUAGAUACCCUGGUAGUCCACGCCGUAAACGAUGGAUACUAGCUGUUGGGAGCAAUCUCAGUGGCUAAGCGAAAGUGAUAAGUAUCCCACCUGGGGAGUACGUUCGCAAGA